rfam:Tatumella morbirosei strain LMG 23360 Contig3, whole genome shotgun sequence.
GGUUAAGCGAAUAAGCGUACACGGUGGAUGCCCUGGCAGUCAGAGGCGAUGAAGGACGUGCUAAUCUGCGAAAAGCGCCGGUAAGGUGAUAUGAACCGAUACAGCCGGCGAUGUCCGAAUGGGGAAACCCGGUGCACUCAGUGCAUCAUCGCAACAUGAAUACAUAGUGUUGCGAGGCGAACCGGGGGAACUGAAACAUCUAAGUACCCCGAGGAAAAGAAAUCAACCGAGAUUCCCCCAGUAGCGGCGAGCGAACGGGGAGCAGCCCUGAACCAUCAUCAGUGUGUGUGUUAGUGGAAGCGUCCGGAAUGGCGCACGAUACAGGGUGAAAGUCCCGUACAUGAAAAUGCACAUACUGUGAGUUCGAAGAGUAGGGCGGGACACGUGGUAUCCUGUCUGAAUAUGGGGGGACCAUCCUCCAAGGCUAAAUACUCCUGACUGACCGAUAGUGAACCAGUACCGUGAGGGAAAGGCGAAAAGAACCCCGGCGAGGGGAGUGAAAAGAACCUGAAACCGUGUACGUACAAGCAGUGGGAGCACCCUUUGGGGUGUGACUGCGUACCUUUUGUAUAAUGGGUCAGCGACUUAUAUUCUGUAGCAAGGUUAACCGUAUAGGGGAGCCGCAGGGAAACCGAGUCUUAACUGGGCGUUAAGUUGCAGGGUAUAGACCCGAAACCCGGUGAUCUAGCCAUGGGCAGGUUGAAGGUUGGGUAACACUAACUGGAGGACCGAACCGACUAAUGUUGAAAAAUUAGCGGAUGACCUGUGGCUGGGGGUGAAAGGCCAAUCAAACCGGGAGAUAGCUGGUUCUCCCCGAAAGCUAUUUAGGUAGCGCCUCGUGAACUCAUCUCCGGGGGUAGAGCACUGUUUCGGCUAGGGGGCCAUCCCGGCUUACCAACCCGAUGCAAACUGCGAAUACCGGAGAAUGUUAUCACGGGAGACACACGGCGGGUGCUAACGUCCGUCGUGAAGAGGGAAACAACCCAGACCGCCAGCUAAGGUCCCAAAGUCAUGGUUAAGUGGGAAACGAUGUGGGAAGGCUCAGACAGCCAGGAUGUUGGCUUAGAAGCAGCCAUCAUUUAAAGAAAGCGUAAUAGCUCACUGGUCGAGUCGGCCUGCGCGGAAGAUGUAACGGGGCUAAACCAUGCACCGAAGCUGCGGCAGCGACACUAUGUGUUGUUGGGUAGGGGAGCGUUCUGUAAGCCAUUGAAGGUGGACUGUGAGGUCUGCUGGAGGUAUCAGAAGUGCGAAUGCUGACAUAAGUAACGAUAAAGCGGGUGAAAAGCCCGCUCGCCGGAAGACCAAGGGUUCCUGUCCAACGUUAAUCGGGGCAGGGUGAGUCGACCCCUAAGGCGAGGCUGAAAAGCGUAGUCGAUGGGAAACAGGUUAAUAUUCCUGUACUUGGUGUUACUGCGAAGGGGGGACGGAGAAGGCUAUGUCAUCCGGGCGACGGUUGUCCCGGUUUAAGCGUGUAGGCUGAGAUUCCAGGCAAAUCCGGAAUCUCUUAAGGCUGAGGCGUGAUGACGAGGUGCUACGGCACUGAAGUGACAAAUGCCCUGCUUCCGGGAAAAGCCUCUAAGCUCCAGGUAACACGAAAUCGUACCCCAAACCGACACAGGUGGUCAGGUAGAGAAUACCAAGGCGCUUGAGAGAACUCGGGUGAAGGAACUAGGCAAAAUGGUGCCGUAACUUCGGGAGAAGGCACGCUGGCGCGUAGGUGAAGGGACUUGCUCCCGGAGCUGAAGCCAGUCGAAGAUACCAGCUGGCUGCAACUGUUUAUUAAAAACACAGCACUGUGCAAACACGAAAGUGGACGUAUACGGUGUGACGCCUGCCCGGUGCCGGAAGGUUAAUUGAUGGGGUUAUCCGUAAGGAGAAGCUCCUGAUCGAAGCCCCGGUAAACGGCGGCCGUAACUAUAACGGUCCUAAGGUAGCGAAAUUCCUUGUCGGGUAAGUUCCGACCUGCACGAAUGGCGUAAUGAUGGCCAGGCUGUCUCCACCCGAGACUCAGUGAAAUUGAAAUCGCUGUGAAGAUGCAGUGUACCCGCGGCAAGACGGAAAGACCCCGUGAACCUUUACUAUAGCUUGACACUGAAUAUUGAGCCUUGAUGUGCAGGAUAGGUGGGAGGCACUGAAGUACGGACGCCAGUUCGUACGGAGCCAUCCUUGAAAUACCACCCUUUAAUGUUUGAUAUUCUAACGUGGACCCGUUAUCCGGGUUGCGGACAGUGUCUGGUGGGUAGUUUGACUGGGGCGGUCUCCUCCCAAAGAGUAACGGAGGAGCACGAAGGUUAGCUAAUCACGGUCGGACAUCGUGAGGUUAGUGCAAAGGCAUAAGCUAGCUUGACUGCGAGAGUGACGGUUCGAGCAGGUGCGAAAGCAGGUCUUAGUGAUCCGGUGGUUCUGAAUGGAAGGGCCAUCGCUCAACGGAUAAAAGGUACUCCGGGGAUAACAGGCUGAUACCGCCCAAGAGUUCAUAUCGACGGCGGUGUUUGGCACCUCGAUGUCGGCUCAUCACAUCCUGGGGCUGAAGUAGGUCCCAAGGGUACGGCUGUUCGCCGUUUAAAGUGGUACGCGAGCUGGGUUUAGAACGUCGUGAGACAGUUCGGUCCCUAUCUGCCGUGGGCGCUGGAGAAUUGAGGGGGGUUGCUCCUAGUACGAGAGGACCGGAGUGAACGCACCACUGGUGUUCGGGUUGUCAUGCCAAUGGCAUUGCCCGGUAGCUAAGUGCGGAAAAGAUAAGUGCUGAAAGCAUCUAAGCACGAAACUUGCCCCGAGAUGAGUUCUCCCUGACCCUUUAAGGGUCCUGAAGGGACGUUGAAGACGACGACGUUGAUAGGCCGGAUGUGUAAGUGCAGCGAUGCAUUGAGCUAACCGGUACUAAUGACCCGUGAGGCUUAACCUU